rnacentral:lncRNA from 1 species
UUUUCCUCUUUUCUAAAUUUCGUAUUUUCGUGUUUAAAACGUGUGCCUUUAUAAUUAUUCGAAACGUAUGAGUAAUAAUCUGUGUAUACGUAUAGUACGUAAUAGCGUGUAUCGCGUGUACGCGGAUCAACAAUUAUUACGCGAUACGAGAGACGAUUGGAAGCGGCGGUGGAACGUGUCCCCCAUUUGCGGGCACGUGCGUGCAUGUGGUUGCUCGAAUUGGAGAGAAAAAGUGUGGAUCAGUCAGCGAGGCCAAGUCGGUCGCGAUAUACGUAGAUAUGCAUCCGUGCCUGCGAACCGUUGUUUUUUUUCUUCGUCCAACGGCCGGUACAAAGGUUAACGUGCAACUCCCGGUAAUACCAGGAGAACGCCAGGGAUCACGACAGCUGAUGGGGACACAGCUCGAGGAACGAUCAAUAAUAUAAUAGCCCGUCGCCCCGGGUACCACCGCGCUAUCGUGCCAUCGAAACUUGGGCCGGCUUUCAUGCUCCUCGAUCUCGUGCUUUAUCGCGUACGUCUUUUCGUAUUUUUUUCUUUCUCUCUCUCUCUCUCUUUCUCUCUCUUUUUACAGGACAGACCGUGAACGACGCUCGCUCCCUCUACUUUGACGAGGAUGAGGAGAAAGCUGAUGUUUUGGAAAAUAGCGUGGGCAAUUUUUCUUUUUAAGAAAUUGAGAGAUCGAGCGGAUGAAUUAGAUGAUAGACAAAUGGAGGAAAGUAAGUGGCAAGUUUCGAGGGGAUCGAAACAUCGUUGUUUUCGUUGAAUGGAGAAGGAGGUUUCGAUGUAGAUGGGGGAUGACAUUGAGUUUGAAUCUAGUGCUGCCAUCUAGUGGUGCCGUGUAUCGACAAAGAACGUGUUUUAAGUAUUUUUAUCCUAUACGCAACGAAUUUGGAAUUUACGAUACGAAUUAUGUACGAACGAGUAGUAUUCCAAAUUAGUUUUAUUGAAAUUCUCUUUUGCGAUUUUAAUUUAGCCCGCGUGUAAUUCAGCGAAUUUACUAUUUCGAUUCCAUCGGUGAGUAAUAUAGGGAUUUACUUUUUCUCGUGGCUCGGAUAGAUUACUUCCUUACCAGUAUAUGGUAAUAUCAAUUUUUGUAAUUUGAUAGGAACACGAACAAAAAUAAAUUAAAAUAUUUUUAUUUAAAAUAAUUUCAAUAUUGUUCGAUUUCCUCGAUAAUUGAAAUGUAACGAUAUAUAAUGGAUGUAUGAUCCGUAUAUAUAUUAUUUUGAAUACUUUUUGUUUGUCAAAUUUCAACAGGAACGGGUAAUAAAUGAAUUAAACAAGGAUAAUUUUUUAUAUAAAUAAUAUUUAUUUAUUCAUAUUACACAUUAUUCAUCUAUUAAUCCAAAUAUAAUAAUUUAAUUAACAAUUAAAUAACCUAAAUCUAGCUUAAAAACAAUUAAAAACAAUUUUAAAUCUAUAAACGCUACGGCAUAUACUAUUGUUAAAUACAAAAUCAUUUAUGAUACAAUAUAUUGCGUGGCAUGUGUACAUGUGCGUACAUCUAUGUAUUUACUAUCUAGAAAUAAUUCUUCUUUAGAAUUCUCUAUGUAUUGCUUGCGGAUAAAGCCGAUGACUCGAUUCUAAAGCUCUAAACAUCUUCUCAUAGGAUCGUUCGAAAAGCUUUGAUAGUACGUCAGGAUGAUUUAUUAUUACGAAUGUGUCGCCAUGCAUUGCAAUCUAGAGUCGCGUGGCAUGUCAUCCGUAAGAUACCUGUAGAGACGAGCUUCUGAUAUUUACAAUUCUACAAAAGCCCGGAUCUACAGGGUAGAUCACGAAUGUGCCUAUCUUAUGCAACCACACUUUUUUCGGCCAUUGUCUCUUCUAGGUAGCGAGAUCUGCAACACAGAAGCUCAGUUUUUUUUAUUACAGCCAGUCUACGAACGAAUUCUCGGUCUUAAAUCCUAAAUCCUAAUCAAAUUUUGCAUUCCUAUUUACAAACAGCAGGACACUAUCGUUAAAAUUCAAAAAGAAAAAAAAAAAGACGAAAUUUGAAUCGAAUUCUUACUGCCUGUAAAUUCCAGGAUUUAAAAACCAACGUUCUCGAGACUUUACGGGCAGGCAGUCCAUUUUCGGCGUCGAAGCUACGGUCGAGGUUAUGUUCGGUCACACGCGUGUACACUCGCGUUUCCGAUUCGCUGAAUUACACUUUUCGAGCGCAUCGAUCCAGUCAUUAAAUUACCAUUCGAUUUGAACGACGGGAAGAAUUAUCCCCCGGGUUUGAAUACGAAUCGAGUGUAAUGGCGUUGCAACAGUGGAUAGUAAUCGAGAAUUAAUUGCGCGAUGCCGAUCGCAAAGUGAUCAAGCGAGCAACGACACGUAUGAAUAACCGUACGGGCAUGACUAUAUAAAGCCGGAGGGGAUUAGAAAUUUCGCCCCGGCCACCGAACCGUACGUGACGCCGGAAAACCUCCACUAAAAUCGGACGUGAUCCCGCAUGCAUAUCCGGAAUACGAGCCGAAGAAAGCCGUGAAUUAAUCGCUUCGACGACAUCGAUUUCGUGAUUUUUAAUCGCCCGUUCGACGAAUAUCGUAUUGUUUCCAUUCGACAAAUUUUACCGUCCAUUCUUCUUCGACGGGUGUUUACGAACAUUUUGUAAUCUUUAAUCAAGCCGUGUAUUUUAAGAAGACGAGAAUUUCGUUAAUUCUUAUUAUUAUUAUCAUCUUCGCCAUAAAAGUUAAUAGUACGAACGUUGACAAUUAGAGGGCCAAUAGUCGUGUUUCCUCUUCGAUUAAUUUCCAGUGGUACCAAACUUAAACAAAUUAAAAAAAAAA